GACGAACGCUGGCGGCGUGCUUAACACAUGCAAGUCGAACGGAAAGGCCCUGCUUUUGUGGGGUGCUCGAGUGGCGAACGGGUGAGUAACACGUGAGUAACCUGCCCUUGACUUUGGGAUAACUUCAGGAAACUGGGGCUAAUACCGGAUAGGAUCUCCUGCUGCAUGGGGGGGGUUGGAAAGUUUCGGCGGUUGGGGAUGGACUCGCGGCUUAUCCGCUUGUUGGUGGGGUAGUGGCUUACCAAGGCUUUGACGGGUAGCCGGCCUGAGAGGGUGACCGGCCACAUUGGGACUGAGAGACGGCCCAGACUCCUACGGGAGGCAGCAGUGGGGAAUAUUGCACAAUGGGCGGAAGCCUGAUGCAGCAACGCCGCGUGCGGGAUGACGGCCUUCGGGUUGUAAACCGCUUUCGCCUGUGACGAAGCGUGAGUGACGGUAAUGGGUAAAGAAGCACCGGCUAACUACGUG
rnacentral:rRNA from 1 species